UACGUAGGGCGCAAGCGUUGUCCGGAAUUAUUGGGCGUAAAGAGCUCGUAGGCGGCUUGUUGCGUCGGUUGUGAAAGCCCGGGGCUUAACCCCGGGUCUGCAGUCGAUACGGGCAGGCUAGAGUGUGGUAGAGGAGAUCGGAAUUCCUGGUGUAGCGGUGAAAUGCGCAGAUAUCAGGAGGAACACCGGUGGCGAAGGCGGAUCUCUGGGCCAUUACUGACGCUGAGGAGCGAAAGCGUGGGGGAGCGAACAGG
rnacentral:rRNA from 1 species